rnacentral:rRNA from 1 species
GACGAACCGAGCGAACGUUGUUCGGAAUCACUGGGCUUAAAGGGCGCGUAGGCGGGCUGUCAAGUCUGGGGUGAAAUCCCGCGGCUCAACCGUGGAACUGCCUUAGAUACUGACGGCCUCGAGGGAGGUAGGGGCGAGCGGAACUGUGAGUGGAGCGGUGAAAUGCGUUGAUAUUCACAGGAACUCCGGUGGCGAAGGCGGCUCGCUGGACCUUUUCUGACGCUGAGACGCGAAAGCGUGGGGAGCGAACAGG